GACGAACGCUGGCGGCGUGCUUAACACAUGCAAGUCGAACGGAAAGGCCCUGCUUUUGUGGGGUGCUCGAGUGGCGAACGGGUGAGUAACACGUGAGUAACCUGCCCUUGACUUUGGGAUAACUUCAGGAAACUGGGGCUAAUACCGGAUAGGAGCUCCUGCUGCAUGGUGGGGGUUGGAAAGUUUCGGCGGUUGGGGAUGGACUCGCGGCUUAUCAGCUUGUUGGUGGGGUAGUGGCUUACCAAGGCUUUGACGGGUAGCCGGCCUGAGAGGGUGACCGGCCACAUUGGGACUGAGAUACGGCCCAGACUCCUACGGGAGGCAGCAGUGGGGAAUAUUGCACAAUGGGCGGAAGCCUGAUGCAGCAACGCCGCGUGCGGGAUGACGGCCUUCGGGUUGUAAACCGCUUUCGCCUGUGACGAAGCGUGAGUGACGGUAAUGGGUAAAGAAGCACCGGCUAACUACGUGCCAACAGCCGCGGUGAUACGUAUGGUGCGAGCGUUGUCCAGAUUUAUUGGGCGUAAAGGGCUCGUAGGUGGUUGAUCGCGUCGGAAGUGUAAUCUUGGGGCUUAACCCUGAGCGUGCUUUCGAUACGGGUUGACUUGAGGAAGGUAGGGGAGAAUGGAAUUCCUGGUGGAGCGGUGGAAUGCGCAGAUAUCAGGAGGAACACCAGUGGCGAAGGCGGUUCUCUGGGCCUUUCCUGACGCUGAGGAGCGAAAGCGUGGGGAGCGAACAGGCUUAGAUACCCUGGUAGUCCACGCUGUAAACGGUGGGUACUAGGUGUGGGGUCCAUUCCACGGGUUCCGUGCCGUAGCUAACGCUUUAAGUACCCCGCCUGGGGAGUACGGCCGCAAGGCUAAAACUCAAAGGAAUUGACGGGGCCCCGCACAAGCGGCGGAGCAUGCGGAUUAAUUCGAUGCAACGCGUAGAACCUUACCUGGGUUUGACAUGGAUCGGGAGUGCUCAGAGAUGGGUGUGCCUCUUUUGGGGUCGGUUCACAGGUGGUGCAUGGCUGUCGUCAGCUCGUGUCGUGAGAUGUUGGGUUAAGUCCCGCAACGAGCGCAACCCUUGUUCACUGUUGCCAGCACGUUAUGGUGGGGACUCAGUGGAGACCGCCGGGGUCAACUCGGAGGAAGGUGGGGAUGACGUCAAGUCAUCAUGCCCCUUAUGUCCAGGGCUUCACGCAUGCUACAAUGGCUGGUACAGAGAGUGGCGAGCCUGUGAGGGUGAGCGAAUCUCGGAAAGCCGGUCUCAGUUCGGAUUGGGGUCUGCAACUCGACCUCAUGAAGUCGGAGUCGCUAGUAAUCGCAGAUCAGCAACGCUGCGGUGAAUACGUUCCCGGG
rnacentral:rRNA from 1 species